UACGUAGGGUGCGAGCGUUAAUCGGAAUUACUGGGCGUAAAGCGUGCGCAGGCGGUUCGUGAUGUCUGGGGGGAAAGCCCCGGGCUUAACCUGGGAAUUGCAUUGGAAACUAGCGGGCUGGAGAGUGGCAGAGGGGGGUGGAAUUCCACGUGUAGCAGUGAAAUGCGUAGAGAUGUGGAGGAACACCGAUGGCGAAGGCAGCCCCCUGGGCUAACACUGACGCUCAUGCACGAAAGCAUGGGGAGCGAACAGG
rnacentral:rRNA from 1 species